rnacentral:rRNA from 1 species
AUUGAACGCUGGCGGCAGGCCUAACACAUGCAAGUCGAGCGAGCGGCGGAGGGGUGAGGAAUGCCUGCGAGUUGCCAAGUCGAGGGGGAUAACAGUUGGCAACGACUGCUAAGACCGCAUACGAUUUGAUUGCCCAGGUGGGGGUAGCUAGUGGGUGAGGUAAUGGCUCACCAAGGCGACGAUCCCUAGCUGGUCUGAGAGGUAGAUCGGCCACACUGGAACUGAGACACGGUCCAGACUCCUACGGGAGGCAGCAGUAGGGAAUAUUGGACAAUGGAGGAAAGCCUGAUGCAGCAAUGCCGCGUGUGUGAAGAAGGCCUUCGGGUUGUAAAGCACUGUCAGCAGGGAGGCGUUACUCGCAGAGAAAGCACCGGCUAACUACGUGCCAGCAGCCGCGGUAAUUC